GUGCUUUGCUGAAAAGGAGGGGUGAGUGUAGAGGAGGGAGAGAGGGAGCGAACGUGCCCGUGUGUGUCCGUUGGCGAGCUCGGAGCUCCUCUCGUCGUCGCUGAGCUACGCCGGCGGCCUCCUCGUCGCCAUCGGAUGCACGAGCACCAUCUUCGCUGGGCGUUACCUCCUCGACGUCACCGGCUACCGUCGCCUGGUCUAGCCGCGUAGUGCUCUCGCCUGUGCCAGUGCCCGUCUCGUCUCGGUUCAGCCGCGCCGCUGGCCCGCGUUAGACCUCUUGGCCACCCGCCACCACGCGCCAGACCCGCCCGCGCUGCACGUGCUCAACCGCCGCUCCACUGCCGCAACUGGUCCUACGGCAGCGUCUAGGAGCAGUACGGCAGCCCUCUCCUCGAGCAACUCCUAAGGGCGAAGAGGUGCCUAGGUGCUGCCUCGCUCCACGAGCUCCUCUUUGAAGAAGAGCCCUACGGUACCUUUAGCCGUUCACUGAGGUAAACGGGUAGUCUCUUGGUCACCCAACUCCGGGAGAAAAUACGUGCUGAGGAUAAUUCAAGGUUAUACGUUUGAUGUGCUGGCGACUGAUACGUUUCUGGCCUUUUUCCCAGGAACUCCGAAGUCUAUUAAUUAGUCUGCUCACUAUAGUAAGUGUGAUAAAAGACCUCCGGAGAGUUUAGAGUGUCACUGUACCUGUUCACCUAUAUCAUGGUUCCUCCGACGUGGCAAACAACUUACCCCGUAUGUUCCCGUUUAAGUUUAGGAAAGAGGACGUUCCGUGGGAGUACAAGUCAGUGCUGUGAUACACACCACGAUUUUGUACGAAGGUAAACGGACUGAGCAUAUCGUCUUCGCAAACGAAGAGGCUUCUUUGACCUAGUUAACACGUUAUACCUAUCCAACGUGUUCGACGUUCGAAUUAUACGAAGGUAAAGUGAAAAACAACGAUGACAUAAUAAAUGCGUAUAAACGACAAGACAGUUAUACACGUUCACCCAGACGUAACCGUCGAUUUUGUGGGGAGGAGGUACCUUAAUCGCCGUGUGAAUUUCUAUAGGAAAGUCCAAGACCAAACCAACGACCAUGUUGACAUAGGGGGUGAUCCAGUCGACUAGUCCCAGGGAGCGGCGCGGCACCUAUGCCACUGGAGCAGCCUCGUCACACGCCUGCUCGGUGUUCGGCUGCAUCUGUCAACGAGGACAGUGCGUGUGGCCGACCAAGACGAGAUCGCUCGGCGGCCGCAGCAACGGGUAGAACUAGAGGGGGACGCUGAGGAAGUUCGCUCCCACGACCUGCGACUCCUGGCCUCUCCUUAGCCACCUUGACAGUCAGGCAGGUGCUAGAUUUCUACAUGAAGACGUGUAGCAUUUUAUCGAUUCAACGUCCAACAAUCCUCAUGACACGAUGUCAAGGUGAAUAUACCUUUCUCUGGUCUAAGUAAUG
rnacentral:rRNA from 1 species